GAUGAACGCUGGCGGCGUGCCUAAUACAUGCAAGUCGAGCGAACAGACGAGGAGCUUGCUCCUCUGACGUUAGCGGCGGACGGGUGAGUAACACGUGUAUAACCUACCUAUAAGACUGGGAUAACUUCGGGAAACCGGAGCUAAUACCGGAUAAUAUAUUGAACCGCAUGGUUCAAUAGUGAAAGACGGUUUUGCUGUCACUUAUAGAUGGAUCCGCGCCGCAUUAGCUAGUUGGUAAGGUAACAGCUUACCAAGGCAACGAUGCGUAUCCGACCUGAGAGGGUGAUCGGCCACACUGGAACAGAGAAACGGUCCAGAGUCCUACGGGAGGCAGCAGUAGGGAAUCUUCCGCAAUGGGCGAAAGCCUGACGGAGGAACGCCGAGUGAGUGAUGAAGGUCUUCGGAUCGUAAAACUCUGUUAUUAGGGAAGAACAAAUGUGUAAGUAACUAUGCACGUCUUGACGGUAACUAAUCAGAAAGCCACGGCUAACUACGUG
rnacentral:rRNA from 1 species